UACGUAGGUGGCAAGCGUUGUCCGGAAUUAUUGGGCGUAAAGCGCGCGCAGGCGGUCCUUUAAGUCUGAUGUGAAAGCCCGCGGCUCAACCGUGGAGGGUCAUUGGAAACUGGAGGACUUGAGUGCAGAAGAGAAGAGUGGAAUUCCACGUGUAGCGGUGAAAUGCGUAGAGAUGUGGAGGAACACCAGUGGCGAAGGCGACUCUUUGGUCUGUAACUGACGCUGAGGCGCGAAAGCGUGGGGAGCAAACAGG
rnacentral:rRNA from 1 species